AACGAACGCUGGCGGCAUGCCUAACACAUGCAAGUCGAACGAGACCUUCGGGUCUAGUGGCGCACGGGUGCGUAACGCGUGGGAACCUGCCCUUAGGUUCGGAAUAACUCCCCGAAAGGGGUGCUAAUACCGGAUAAUGUCUUCGGACCACAGAUUUAUCGCCUUUGGAUGGGCCCGCGUUGGAUUAGCUAGUUGGUAGGGUAAAAGCCUACCAAGGCGACGAUCCAUAGCUGGUCUGAGAGGAUGAUCAGCCACACUGGGACUGAGACACGGCCCAGACUCCUACGGGAGGCAGCAGUGGGGAAUAUUGGACAAUGGGCGAAAGCCUGAUCCAGCAAUGCCGCGUGAGUGAUGAAGGCCUUAGGGUUGUAAAGCUCUUUUACCCGGGAUGAUAAUGACAGUACCGGGAGAAUAAGCACCGGCUAACUCCGUG
rnacentral:rRNA from 1 species